UUUACGGCAACAUUAAUCGCCGUAAUAGGUCGUAUUGAACUAGGCCCCGGUCUCCUUUAUUUUUCCCUCUCGCCCGAUAUCUCCCUCUCUUUUCCCCUCUCACUCACGAUGUCGGCAUCUUUCCUCCGUACGUUUCCCUCGCUCUGUUUCUCUCUCUGCUACAUCUUUCCUUUGUGCUCGGCGCCAUGGAGCCUCUAAAGUCUUGGUGUGAGUACACAACGCCGACGGGCUGGAGUGGUUCUGCUCCGCGACCUCUACGCCUCGUCGGUCCUGCUCCGCCACCACAACCACCAUGCUCUUCGUCCUCGUUGGGUCUCAUCUCUCCUGGAUGGCAAUCAUUCCUAUUGCUGUAAGUUCUCUUUUCUUCCUUGACUAGUUUGGCACUUUCAUUGGGGUGCUGGAGAUGACUUUUCAACACUUAACUGAUCAUCUCAUAUUGUCUUGGAAAUUUACUUCUA